GUCUGUGUUUUUUCCCCUUUUUUUUUGUUUCUUGGUUUGUUUUCCUUAAGUUUAGUUUUUGUUUUAUUACUGGUCUCUGAGCCGCUGUUCCUCGGACACCCACGAGGUGUCACCCAUGUGCCACCCCUGGAAAGCGGCGGGGUUCAACCUGGGCGCACACCUGCAGCUCGUUUAGAGGGCGUGGACCCUGGAUAUAAGCAGCAGCGUCGCUCCUUCUCAUCGCCUGAGUGUUUGCUUACCUUGAUUAUCCAGCCGUCUCCUCGUUGUUCCCAAGAGACCAGUUAUCCCGAGUUUGUGUGAGUCUGUCUCCCCAGCUGUGGAUCAUCUACCUCCUGUGUCUCUCCCCGACGCUACCGGUGUUACCGGUUAGACGCCACUCCUCGUGUGUUCGUCUUCCCCUCUUCGUGGAUCCUUCUCCGGUGGAUUCCCCUUCGGAGCGUUCCGGGUCAGGAGACCCACGUCCGAACCUCACCGGAGAAAAAGAAUUACUAGAACCGGAACUUACGCCGCUUCUCCGGUCGUUGACCAUCACUGUCCGCUCUCCAACGAGCUCCCACUCGCACUAACCCGAGCCGAUCACCCCAUCUUCCUCAAUAAGACGACCUGGUCCUCCGCUCCAGUAUUCUCCCCCCUCUCCAUCCUUCUCCUGACUUCAAUAAAUCAUUAUUGUAUUA